GGCCACUCUGUACCCAGAGAGGAAGGCUGGGCGCUCAGGAGGCAGUCUGAGCUGACGGCAGAGGGAUCUCUCAAGGCCUGAAGGGGGCUGUGGUUCAGAGACAGCCCUCCGUUCUGGGAAAGGAAAAAGGCAAUCACAGGUCCCUGGCCAGGGUGCCAGGGUGAACUCCAGCUCUCUCAGCCCGACCUGCUUGAAGGCCCCAGCGGUGUACAGAGGACAACAGUAGAGCACUUACCAGUCU